rnacentral:rRNA from 1 species
GUGAGGAAUUUUCCGCAAUGGGCGAAAGCCUGACGGAGCAAUGCCGCGUGAAGGAUGAAGGCCUAUGGGUUGUAAACUUCUUUUCUCAGAAAAGAAUUAUGACGGUAUCUGAGGAAUAAGCAUCGGCUAACUCUGUGCCAGCAGCCGCGGUAAGACAGAGGAUGCAAGCGUUAUCCGGAAUGAUUGGGCGUAAAGCGUCUGUAGGUUGUUUAAAAAGUAUUCUGUCAAAGAUUAGGGCUUAACCCUAGAUAGGCAGAAUAAACUUUUAAGCUAGAGUUUGGUAGAGGCAGAGGGAAUUCCCGGUGGAGCGGUGAAAUGCGUAGAUAUCGGGAGGAACACCAAAGGCGAAGUCACUCUGCUGGGCCAAUACUAACACUGAGAGACGAAAGCGAGGGGAGCAAAUGGGAUUAGAUACCCCAGUAGUCC